rnacentral:rRNA from 1 species
UACGAAGGGGGCUAGCGUUGUUCGGAAUUACUGGGCGUAAAGCGCGCGCAGGCGGUCUUCCAAGUCAGUGGUGAAAGCCCGGAGCUCAACUCCGGAACUGCCAUUGAAACUGUUGGACUUGAGUACGAGAGAGGUGAGUGGAAUUCCCAGUGUAGAGGUGAAAUUCGUAGAUAUUGGGAAGAACACCGGUGGCGAAGGCGGCUCACUGGCUCGUAACUGACGCUCAGGCGCGACAGCGUGGGGAUCAAACGGG